rnacentral:rRNA from 1 species
ACUCCUAGUAUAAUUAUUGGACUAAUCUAUAUAAUUAUAGAAGCAAUACUGUUAACAUGAGUAACAAGAAAACUUUUUCUCCUCGCACAAGCUUACAUCAGUAACUGAUACUACACUGAUAGUUAACAGCCAAUAAAUAAAACCCAACGCCAAGCCAUUUAUUAAGCCCACUGUUAACCCAACACAGGCGUGCACCAAGGAAAGAUUAAAAAAAGUAAAAGGAACUCGGCAAACACAAACCUCGCCUGUUUACCAAAAACAUCACCUCUAGCAUAACCAGUAUUAGAGGCACUGCCUGCCCAGUGACUGAUAGUUAAACGGCCGCGGUAUCCUGACCGUGCAAAGGUAGCAUAAUCACUUGUUCUCUAAAUAAGGACUUGUAUGAACGGCCACACGAAGGUUUUACUGUCUCUUACUUUUAAUCAGUGAAAUUGACCUUCCCGUGAAGAGGCGGGAAUAACAAAACAAGACGAGAAGACCCUAUGGAGCUUCAAUUAAUCAACCCAAUAACCCACAACCUCAAACCACCAAGGGAUAAAAAAAACUUAUAUGGGUUGACAAUUUCGGUUGGGGUGACCUCGGAGCACAAAAACCCCUCCGAGUGAUUAAAGCCUAGGCCUACCAGCCAAAGCAUAACAUCACUUAUUGAUCCAAAGCUUUGAUCAACGGAACAAGUUACCCUAGGGAUAACAGCGCAAUCCUAUUCUAGAGUCCAUAU